CGAACGGUAUGAAGAAGCUUGCUUCUUCAGAGAGUGGCGAACGGGUGAGUAACACGUAGGUGAUCUACCGCAGGUGUUGGGGAUAGCCCGUGGAAACAUGGGGUAAUACCGAAUACGCUCAUUUGGCUGUGGCCGGAUGAGGAAAGGCGCUUCGGCGUCGCCCUGCGAUGAGCCUGCGCCCCAUUAGCUAGUUGGUAGGGUAACGGCCUACCAAGGCGACGAUGGGUAGCCGGCUUGAGAGGGUGAUCGGCCACACUGGGACUGAGAUACGGCCCAGACUCCUACGGGAGGCAGCAGCUAAGAAUCUUCCGCAAUGGACGAAAGUCUGACGGAGCGACGCCGCGUGGGUGAAGAAGGCCGGAAGGUUGUAAAGCCCUUUUCUCGUUGAGGAAUAAGCGCAGGAGGGAAUGCCUGUGCGAUGACGGUAGGCGAGGAAUAAGUCCCGGCCAAUUACGUGCCAGCAGCCGCGGUAACACGUAUGGGACGAGCGUUGUUCGGAAUCAUUGGGCGUAAAGGGCGCGUAGGCGGCGAGGUAAGCCUGGUGUGAAAGACCGCAGCUUAACUGCGGAACCGCGCUAGGAACUGCAUUGUUUGAGUCCAGGAGGGGGAGCUGGAAUUCCAGGUGUAGGGGUGAAAUCAGAAGAUAUCUGGAAGGACACCCGGCGGCGAAGGCGAGCCUCCCUGCCCAUGAACUGACCGCUGAGGCCCGAAAGCUUGGGGAGCGAACAGGAUUAGGUACCCCUGGGUGUCCACGCUGUAACCGAUUGUGCCCUAGGUGUUGGCACACGAAGGUUCAGUGCCGGAGUCAACGCGUUAAGUGCACCGCCUGGGGAGUAUGCUCGCAGAGGGUGAAACUCAGAGGAAUUGACGGGGUGCCCGCACAAGCGGUGGAGCAUGUGGUUUAAUUCGAUGAUACGCGAGGAAUCUUACCAGGGUUUGACAUAUGCCGGAAUGUGCAGGAGACUGCGCACCCUUUCGGGGCCGGUAUACAGGUGCUGCAUGACUGUCGUCAGCUCGUCCCGUGAGGUGUUGGGUUAAGUCCCGGCAACGAGCGCAACCUCUACUGUCUGUUGCCAGCAUUCAUUUGGGGACUCAGCCGGAACUGCCGGUGACAAACCGGAGGAAGUUGGGGACGACGUCAGGUCAUCAUGGCCCUUAUAUCCUGGGCUACACACGUGCUACAAUGGUCGGUACAGAGCGAAGCAACACCGCGAGGUAGAG
rnacentral:rRNA from 1 species